rnacentral:rRNA from 1 species
GAUGAACGCUGGCGGCGUGCCUAAUACAUGCAAGUCGAGCGAACAGACGAGGAGCUUGCUCCUCUGACGUUAGCGGCGGACGGGUGAGUAACACGUGGAUAACCUACCUAGAAGACUGGGAUAACUUCGGGAAACCGGAGCUAAUACCGGAUAAUAUAUUGAACCGCAUGGUUCAAUAGUGAAAGACGGUUUUGCUGGCACUUAUAGAUGGAUCCGCGCCGCAUUAGCUAGUUGGUAAGGUAACGGCUUACCAAGGCGACGAUGCGUAGCCGACCUGAGAGGGUGAUCGGCCACACUGGAACUGAGACACGGUCCAGACUCCUACGGGAGGCAGCAGUCGGGAAUCUUCCGCAAUGGGCGAAAGCCUGACGGAGCAACGCCGCGUGAGUGAUGAAGGUCUUCGGAUCGUAAAGCUCUGUUAUUAGGGAAGAACCGAUGUGUACGUAACUAUGCACGUCUUGACGGUACCUAAUCAGAAAGCCCCGGCUAACUACGUG